ensembl:lncRNA
AUUUGGCCCUUGGUUCCUAGCAGUGCUGGAUAGUGAACUCAGAGCCUCACAGAUGUGCUUUAUCACUGAGCUGCAUACCCACUCCCAAUAAUGGAAGGAUGUAAGAUAGAUGCAAUACUUUCACUCAGUGGAACAAAGGUUUAUAAGCAAAUAAUAUCGGGUCAAUUUGGAUAAACCAAACUCAGUGCCAACGAGGCAGGCUGAUAAUGUCAAGGAAGAGAAUAUCUGAACUUUCUCAUUUCAAGUCAAUUUUGGAUGACUGAAUUGAAGGUCAGAAAUUUUUAAAGGGAAAGACAGAACAAGCACUCAGAAGAAAAGCAAUAAGAAGAGGCAACAAGGGUGAUGUUAAUGAAGGAGGUGAAGACUGUGAUGAUAGUGGUUUGGAAGAAC